rnacentral:rRNA from 1 species
UACUACCGAAGCUACGGCAUCAGUAAUGAUGGGUAGGGGAGCUUCCCAUACGGGUUGAAGCAUGACCGUAAGGACAUGUGGACAGUAUGGGAGUGAGAAGGUUGGCAUGAGUAGCGAGAUGUGGGUGGGAAUCCCACAGGCCGUAAACCCAAGGUUUCCAGGGGAAGGUUCGUCCGCCCUGGGUUAGUCGGGACCUAAGCUGAGGCCGAAAGGCGUAGGUGAUGGAC